UACGUAGGGUGCAAGCGUUAAUCGGAAUUACUGGGCGUAAAGCGUGCGCAGGCGGUUUUGUAAGUCUGAUGGGAAAUCCCCGGGCUCAACCUGGGAAUUGCAUUGGAGACUGCAAGGCUAGAAUCUGGCAGAGGGGGGUAGAAUUCCACGUGUAGCAGUGAAAUGCGUAGAGAUGUGGAGGAACACCGAUGGCGAAGGCAGCCCCCUGGGUCAACACUGACGCUCAGGCACGAAAGCGUGGGGAGCAAACAGG
rnacentral:rRNA from 1 species